UCCGUAGGUNAACCUGCGGAAGGAUCAUUAUCGAAUUUUUAGCUUGGUUGUAGCUGGCCUUCCNGGGCAUUGUGCACGCCUUGCUUAAAAUCCACUCUACACCUGUGCACUUACUGUGGGUUUCGGAAGUUGCAAAGCCAGAGAGUUACAUCUUUGGUAGAGCGCUUCUGGGCCUGCGUUUAUCACAAACACUUUAAAGUAUUAGAAUGUUUAUUAUGAUGUAACGCAUCUAUAUACAACUUUCAGCAACGGAUCUCUUGGCUCUCGCAUCGAUGAAGAACGCAGCGAAAUGCGAUAAGUAAUGUGAAUUGCAGAAUUCAGUGAAUCAUCGAAUCUUUGAACGCACCUUGCGCUCCUUGGUAUUCCGAGGAGCAUGCCUGUUUGAGUGUCAUGAAAUUCUCAACCUAUUAUGCCUUUGCGGGUUCUUAAUAGGCUUGGACUUGGAGGCUUUGUCGGUUCUAGUUAAUCGGCUCCUCUUANAUGCAUUAGCUUGAUUCCUUGCGGAUCGGCUGUCGGUGUGAUAAUUGUCUACGCCGCGACCGUGAANCGUUUUGGCAAGCUUCUAACCGUCUUUUUAUAANGACAAUUUAUUAUGACCUCUGACCUCANAUCAGGGUAGGAUUACCCGCUGAANUUANGCAUAUCAAUAGCCGAGGGA
rnacentral:rRNA from 1 species